CUGCUAUCUGUCAAUAGCUGACAGAUUAUUCCAACCCGAGCUGCCUCCUCUCUCUCGAUCCUGUCCUGCCUGACACUUUCAGUUUUGCCUCGAAUGCGAUAAGAGUUGAAACGCUUUCGCGUCUUACCGUUUCGCAAAGUGGAAAAUAACCCAGCGGGAGUCGGUGCUUUCAGGUCAACGUGAGGUCCUUGUCGAGCAGGUAUGCCUGAGACGUGCUGCUAAACAGAGGCUUACCCUCAUCCAAAGGGAGCUGCCCAAUAGGAAAGAAGAAACGAGACAAUGCUGUCCAGCAGCUUGAAGUUCUGCAUGUGUCAGCAAGCUUUGGGCACGACGAAUUCUCAGUGUCCUUGUAGGUACACAGGUGAGCACAUUGUUCUUAUUCUCAGAAGGAUGGCGGUAUGGAGCCCGUUAGCACUGUAGCAAUGGAAUCAGCUGUAGGUGACUACAGAGGGAUGAGCUCAAAAUUCUCCCCUUCACAAUCAACAUAACACAGCGCAAGCACAAGCAGAAACCGUGGCGUUCUCAAGGCGCUCCUUUCUGGGGUAUUCUGGAAUCCCGGGGUUACCUGUACUCCGAACUCACCGCCGCUGGCUACACAUCAGUUAAAUGGAGCUCCAUCAGCUCUCACUUGUUUCCUCCCAGAAACCUGUGGGUUGAUUUCCCCAAAUAUUUUGGCUCAUUGUCCAUGUUUCCUGUGAAACUUUGCUGAUCAAACAAUAUUUUCUAUCCCUGCAUACAAUAACAUAAGAAAUAGUGAAAAGGUCUAAAGAUAGAGAAAUUUGUCUAUGUCAGGUAGUUCACUGUGUCAGCUUAUAGUCUACCUGAGCACCGUUUAACAAAACCACUGUGUUUAUAGCAACUAAUAACAUUACAGACAUAACUGACUACCAUUGUAACGAUAUAGACAGUAAUAGUGUCAACAUAUAUUUGCUAAUUUUGCAUUUUUGUGUAUAACUUUGAAGACACAGCUGAGACCAGCAUUCAAACUAAGGAGGAGUUCCCUGAUCUGAUCCAAUCCUUCCUUGUCUUAACACAUUCCUUUUAUCUUCCGUGUUUACUUCUAUUUGUUAUCCUCUCCUAUUUUUUCUUUUCUUUUUAGGGGGAAAUCAGUCAUUAAAGGGUUAUUUUUGUUUAUGUACUUUGUUAUUUAUGUCAUUUAGGUUGUGUCUGCAUUUUGGUUCUUCUCCAUAAAGAGCUAAAAUGUCACAAUGGGUGAACUAAUGAUCAAAACUAAAUGGCUUCAGACUGCUUAUAUCAUACUUACGACAUAUACUUGCAUGCGGUCCACCAAAAAAUACCAACCACCCAUAGCCCUGUGGUGAUGACACUAUGCCUGAGAAGCACACAGUGUAACUUCAUUACAAAGAAGGUCUUUGUCUAUUAUGACUCAGUGUUUUCUGUGUAGGAACAACACACAACCAUGCUAGUCCUUAAAUUUGGAAAAUUGUAAUAAAUGUGUUUCGGGCAUGAGGAUCACUGUGAUCUUCAAGUUGUAUUGUACGUAAUGACACAUGAUGGCGAUGCUAUUAAACAUAGCAUGAAAAACGUUUGCAUCAUCAUGAUCUGUAGGUUUUAGUCACCAGUACAGAGGAGGGUCUGAAUCGAAAUCCACACAUCCAUAUGCGCUAAAAAAAAAUGUGUGUAAUAUUGUUUCAUAAGUACAAUAUAAAAUGUUGCAUUUAAUGGAAUCUGGUUAUUUGAAAUUCACUUGACAGGUGCACAUUCAGUUUACACCAAGCACAUUUUCCUUAGUGAUCAAUUAUUUGAAAAAAUAAAUCUUUCAUUUCAUAUUUCAGUCGCCUUUUUUAAAAUAUUGCUUCAUGUUUACUGAGGGUCAGGGAUGUUUUUUUGUUUUGUUUUUUUUUGAGUGUGGCCUCAUGCUAGAAGUUUUAAUUCCAUGCUACAAGUCUGGUUAAUUACACGUUAAGGUUUCUUGACAAAACACCAUAAUUCACCACUGUUCCAUCGACACGCCUUUCAAUGAAAACUCAGAAACUCGCAAUUUAGCUUCCCCGAGGUCUUUAGACUAAACUGACCAAAUAUGGAGGAUGUCAUUAAGAUAGAAAGCCUGAAAAUGAUGAAAUCUGUAAAGUGGAA
ensembl:lncRNA